UACGUAGGGGCAAGCGUUAUCCGGAUUUACUGGGUGUAAAGGGAGCGUAGACGGCUUUGCAAGCCAGAUGUGAAAGCCCGGGGCUCAACCUCGGGACUGCAUUUGGAACUGUAUGGCUGGAGUGUCGGAGAGGCAGGCGGAAUUCCUAGUGUAGCGGUGAAAUGCGUAGAUAUUAGGAGGAACACCAGUGGCGAAGGCGGCCUGCUGGACGAUGACUGACGUUGAGGCUCGAAAGCGUGGGGAGCAAACAGG
rnacentral:rRNA from 1 species